rnacentral:rRNA from 1 species
GAGUUUGAUCAUGGCUCAGAACGUACGCUGGCGGCACGCCUAACACAUGCAAGUCGAACGAAGUAGCAAUACUUAGUGGCAGACGGGUGAGUAACAUGUGGGUAUCUGCCCUUUGGCCUGGAAUAACACGAGGAAACUUGUGCUAAUACCGGAUAAGUCUUUACGGAGAAAGCUUUAUGCACCAUUGGAUGAGCCUGCACUUGAUUAGUUUGUUGGUGGGGUAAUGGCCUACCAAGACUGUGAUCAAUAGCUGAUUUGAGAGGAUGAUCAGCCACAUUGGGACUGAGACACGGCCCAAACUCCUACGGGAGGCAGCAGUGGGGAAUCUUGCACAAUGGAGGAAACUCUGAUGCAGCGAUGCCGCGUGAGUGAAGAAGGCCCUUGGGUUGUAAAGCUCUUUCGUCGGGGAAGAAAAUGACUGUACCCGAAUAAGAAGGUCCGGCUAACUUCGUGCCAGCAGCCGCGGUAAUACGAAGGGACCUAGCGUAGUUCGGAAUUACUGGGCUUAAAGAGUUCGUAGGUGGUUGAAAAAGUUAGUGGUGAAAUCCCAGAGCUUAACUCUGGAACUGCCAUUAAAACUUUUCAGCUAGAGUAUGAUAGAGGAAAGCAGAAUUUCUAGUGUAGAGGUGAAAUUCGUAGAUAUUAGAAAGAAUACCAAUUGCGAAGGCAGCUUUCUGGAUCAUUACUGACACUGAGGAACGAAAGCAUGGGUAGCGAAGAGGAUUAGAUACCCUCGUAGUCCAUGCCGUAAACGAUGUGUGUUAGACGUUGGAAAUUUAUUUUCAGUGUCGCAGGGAAACCGAUAAACACACCGCCUGGGGAGUACGACCGCAAGGUUAAAACUCAAAUGAAUUGACGGGGACCCGCACAAGUAGUGGAGCAUGUGGUUUAAUUCGAAGAUACGCGCAGAACCUUACCAACACUUGACAUGUUCGUCGCGACUCUAAGAGAUUAGAGUUUUCGGUUCGGCCGGACGAAACACAGGUGCUGCAUGGCUGUCGUCAGCUCGUGUCGUGAGAUGUUGGGUUAAGUCCCGCAACGAGCGCAACCCUCACUUUUAGUUGCCAUCAUUAAGUUGGGCACUCUGAAAGAACUGCCAGUGAUAAGCUGGAGGAAGGUGGGGAUGACGUCAAGUCCUCAUGGCCCUUACGUGUUGGGCUACACACGUGCUACAAUGGUAUUUACAACAGGAAGCAAGACUGCGAAGUUAAGCAAAUCCCUAAAAGAUACCUCAGUUCGGAUUGCACUCUGCAACUCGAGUGCAUGAAGCUGGAAUUACUAGUAAUCGUGGAUCAGCGUGCCACGGUGAAUGCGUUCCCGGGUCUUGUACACACCGCCCGUCACACCAUGGGAGUUGGUUCUACCUUAAGGCAAGGUUUCAAACCCUUGACCACGGUAUAGUCAGCGACUGGGGUGAAGUCGUAACAAGGUAACC